GUUUUGGAUUUUCUAAAUUGUAUGUUAACGGGCCAAAUUUUAGGGGUACUUUGGUCAAUUAAAUGCUCAAAACGCUAAAAUGGCUAUAAUUUGUUUUAUUGUUAAUCGAAAGACAGUUAUGUUAUUUCAUUAAUUUUGAAUUUCAAAAAUCAAACAUUUUCUCUCUUCUCCUUCUUCACACGAACAACGUCUCUUCUCGUCUUCUCUGAUAAUAGCGAUUCGAGUCUCAACUGAAGCAUCGUUGACGAAUCAGUUGUGAUCGUUUCGUGUCGAUGAUGU